CCCUUAGAUGUUCUGGGCCGCACGCGCGCUACACUGACGAAUGCAACGAGCUUAUAACCUUGGCCGAAAGGUCUGGGUAAUCUCCAAAUUUCGUCGUGAUGGGGAUAGAUUAUUGCAAUUAUUAAUCUUCAACGAGGAAUGCCUAGUAAGCGCAAGUCAUCAGCUUGCGUUGAUUACGUCCCUGCCCUUUGUACACACCGCCCGUCGCUCCUACCGAUUGAAUGGUCCGGUGAAGCGUUCUGACCGUGGCCUUUGGACGGUUCGCCGUCUGUUGGCUGCGGGAAGUUCGUUAAACCUUAUCAUUUAGAGGAAGGAGAAGUCGUAACA
rnacentral:rRNA from 1 species